UUGGAAUUAAUUAAGUUGACCUAGUCUCUUUCUGCACAAGGACCUGGAGUGCAAUGGUUGCAAGCAGCAGGCUCCUUGGUAGUAUAUGCAGCCUGAUGCCUAUAUGGGUUGCCCUAAGGCACCUUAGGAACAAUU